rnacentral:lncRNA from 1 species
GUGGCUUCCGGCAUUUGGUGGGGCCUUUGUAUCUCGCUCCCGCCAGAGCUUGGGAUCAGUCUCUGCUGUUUUGAGUCCUCCACCUCGGGAGCCCCCGGUGACUGUCACAGCCUCUUGCCCUGUGAUCUGCAGGUUCUGGGAGACGCACAGCUAAGAUGCCAGGACAUCCUGGAAGCUGGGAAAAGGCUCAAGCGAUUCCCGUGCCUCAGCGCCCCCCUCCGGCCCCCGAGAAGCUGGGAUUACAGACCUGCGCCACUACGCCUGGCAAAUUUUUGUAUUUCUAGUAGAGAAGUGGUUUCACCAUGGUGGAAGCUGGUCUGGAACUCCUGGCCUCAAGCGAUACGCCCGCCACGGCCUCCCAAAGUGCGAAGAUUACAAGCAUGAGCCACCGCGCCCAGCCGCUUCUAUUAAAUAUUAAAGGGAGUCAAUGUUAAAACGUUAACGAGUUUAUUUGAGCAGUGAUUGGUGAAAUGGAAAACACCCAGCCAUAAUAUGUGGCCCACCUGAGAGACAUAAAGGAAAGGGUUUUAUAAAGGGCGUGUGAGAAGGCAAACCAAAUUGGAGAAUUGGUUACAGUUAGGUAGUCACCUUAUUUGUAUGAUUCAGGUGGAAAUUUCCUGGUUAUGUAAUCAGAGGUUAAUUGCAGGUUUAUGAUUGGUUAAGCCUGAAUUUUGUUUCUGCCUAAAAUAGUAAUUUAAAAGAAGUGAAUUUGAGUUAGGGUUUUCAUUCUUUACUUAUGAACACAGGGCACUAGAGCCCCUUCAGUCUAAUUUCCUGCUUUUUAGUUAUCUCAACACUCCACGGGAGGACUGGUUUACCUCUGUGACUUCCUAAUGUAUGGCAAGCAGGACUUCAAAUCCACCUUUUCUCCUAGCUUAACUCAGGCUUGCAGUAAAAUUAUAAAUGUCCGCUUUCAUUCCUACAUUCUCAAAUGUAGGAAAUGAGGACAGCUUCCUCUCCCCAAUUUACAACACUAUCAACUAUUUGUCCUUUAUUGUACAUUUCAAACACAGUGUUUUAAUUGUUAA